CAAUAUGUCUGACACAUAUACGUGUAUGUGUAUCUGUAUGUUGUCAUUGUGUGCAUCUGUGUACCUGUAUGUUGUCAGUGUUUGUAUCUGCGUGUCUGUGUAGCUGCAUGUGUUCAGGUUGUGUAUCUGUUUGUCUGUAUGUGUAUUGGUGUGUCUGUAUCUGCAUCAGUCUGUGUGUCUGUAUCUGCAUGUGUGUCAAUGUGUGUGUAUAUGUGUCUGUAUAUCUCCAUGUGUGUCAGUGUGUAUAUCUGUGUAUCUG